rnacentral:snRNA from 1 species
GUACCAGCUAUGGCAGUACAUAUUCUAAAAUUGGAACAAUACAAAGAAGAUUAACAUGUCCCCUGUGCAAGGCUGAUAUGCAAAUUCGUGAAGCGUUCCAUAUUUUU